rnacentral:misc_RNA from 1 species
GAAAUGCGAUAAGUAAUUUGAAUUUCAUCAUUCAGUGAAUCAUCGAAUCUUUGAACGCACCUUGCGCUCCUUGGUAUUCCUUGGAGCAUGCCUGUUUGAGUAUCAUGAAAUCUUCAAAGUAAAUCUUUUGUUAACUCAAUUGGUUUCUACUUUGGUAUUGGAGGUCUUUGCAGCUUCACACCUGCUCCUCUUUGUUCAUUAGCUGGAUCUCAGUGUUAUGCUUGGUUCCACUCGGCGUGAUAAGUUAUCUAUCGCUGAGGACACUGUAAAAGGUGGCCAAGGUAAAUGCAGAUGAACCGCUUCUAAUAGUCCAUUGACUUGGACAAUACUUUUAUGAUCUGAUCUCAAAUCAGGUAGGACUACCCGCUGAACUUAAGC